AGUGAACGCUGGCGGUAGGCCUAACACAUGCAAGUCGAACGGCAGCACAGGAGAGCUUGCUCUCUGGGUGGCGAGUGGCGGACGGGUGAGGAAUACAUCGGAAUCUACUCUGUCGUGGGGGAUAACGUAGGGAAACCUACGCUAAUACCGCAUACGACCUACGGGUGAAAGCAGGGGACCUUCGGGCCUUGCGCGAUUGAAUGAGCAGAUGUCGGAUUAGCUAGUUGGCGGGGUAAAGGCCCACCAAGGCGACGAUCCGUAGCUGGUCUGAGAGGAUGAUCAGCCACACUGGAACUGAGACACGGUCCAGACUCCUACGGGAGGCAGCAGUGGGGAAUAUUGGACAAUGGGCGCAAGCCUGAUCCAGCCAUACCGCGUGGGUGAAGAAGGCCUUCGGGUUGUAAAGCCCUUUUGUUGGGAAAGAAAUCCAGCUGGCUAAUACCCGGUUGGGAUGACGGUACCCAAAGAAUAAGCACCGGCUAACUUCGUGCCAGCAGCCGCCGUAA
rnacentral:rRNA from 1 species